rnacentral:lncRNA from 1 species
UGUCAAUUUGGUAUCAGAGCCGAUCCCUGGUCGGAAGUGUGCCAACGAGGACGUCGGGCCCCUAAGGGGGUGGAUUGUAACAUCCCACAUCGUCCAGGGGAGUGAUCCUUAAAUGUAUUUUCUUAUCCCUACCUAGCACGAGGCAUUCUGGGAGCUAACUGACUUCGGGUUUCGUAGGAACUUUGAAGUUAAGCGAGAAGGAGGCCAGAGCACUCCUAAGAUGGGUGACCCACUGGAAAGUUGCUCGUGAGUUCCCAGAAACAAAACCGUGAGGGCGUGGUCGGGGCCCAAAGCGGACAAUAUCGUGCUACGAUUGUGGAACGGGCCCGGGAAGUGGUCUACCCCGGGCCGAGAUAUGACAAAUGGUAUCAGAGCCUAGGUUGUAGUCCUGUAUAUCUUAAGAAUUUCCUAGUGUCUUCUGUCUGAACUAUACCGCCUCGUAGAGAGCCACGUUAUUCAGAUGAGCCUAGUUUCCUUGAUAUAGCUCAGUUAGGGGAAGUUAUUGCUAAUAUGAUUCAGUCCGUCAUUCUUAAAGGACUCAUUUUGAGAUUGGUUAUAAGUUGAAACCGAAUCACUUUAUGGAAAAAAAAA